rnacentral:lncRNA from 1 species
CAGAGAGAUCCUCCAUAUCUGAGGCCUUAGAGGCUAGGCUGUCAGAAGACCAUGACCAGCUAAAGAAUAUCUGUAGCCAGCUAGAAACUCAGAUAGGCAAUGAUACCCAGAAACUAGAUGCAAAGGUGCAAAGUUCCCAGAAUAGGGUUGAAGAAUUGGACAAUGCCAUUCAAUCAAUUAUUGAAGCAUCCAAGGUAGCAGAUCACAAAUUUGAGUCUAGAUCUGAAUGUUUGGAAGAUAAUUUACAGUACAGGGCUGACAGAUUACAUAGGUCCAUACAGUCGAUUGCUGAGGACUCAAAAUCAGCAAAUCAUAACGUCAAAUCUAGACUCCAAUACAUAGAAGGCAAUUUCCAUACCAUCCAGAUGCUGCCUAAGGACGAUGGUAUUAAAGACCUAGAAAAACGUGUAGAGGAGCAGUUAGAGCAAUUUACAGAUUCACUAACGUGCUUGGAAUCUUUUAUGAUUAAGGAGAUUGAAACUUUUCAUAAGGAUAUCAUUACUAGGCUUAAAGAUCAUUGGGAUGCCUCAGAGGCAGAAUCACUCCAAUCUGAGGCACCUACUCCACCCAGGUAUCAUGAUUAUUCCUCUAAGGUUGUUACUCGUACACCAUUUGUGUACCCAGCUACCAUGGUAGAAAAGUCAUCUUCUAAGAAACUUUAUGGACGGAUGGCUUAUGAAUGGCAACCGAUACAGCUGAAGGACCUUAAGAAUAUUAAAGAAUCAGUUGUCUCAUAUGGUCUCCAUAGCCCAUAUGUAAAACAGCUAUUACAUUCAUGGGCAACCUUUAACAGGGUGACACCCACAGAUUGGGAACGAUUGGUAGUAGCUGUACUUGAGAAUUCAUGCCAAAUCCAGUGGAAGGCAUUGGUGAGGGAAGAGGCGAAGCUCCUUGAGUGUCAGGGCAUAAAGGAAGGUUUUGAAGCCCCUCUAGAUAAGCUUCUUGGUCAGGGUAUUUAUGCUGACCCAGAGGCUCAGGAUGAAUAUGAUGAUGAUAUACUGUCCCUAUGCAGGAAAGCAGCAUUAAAUGCCUGGGAUAAGGUUCGUGAGCCAGGAGAAUGCCUAGAAGCUUAUACCAGAAUAGAACAGGGACCUACAGAACAGUUCCAGGACUUCUUACAAAGGUUAACUAGGGCAGUGGAA